rnacentral:rRNA from 1 species
ACGUAGGGGGCAAGCGUUGUCCGGAAUCAUUGGGCGUAAAGAGCGUGUAGGCGGCUUGGUAAGUCCGCUGUGAAAGUCCAGGGCUCAACCCUGGAAAGCCGGUGGAAACUGUCAAGCUCGAGUCCGGAAGAGGCGAGUGGAAUUCCUGGUGUAGCGGUGAAAUGCGCAGAUAUCAGGAGGAACACCAAUGGCGAAGGCAGCUCGCUGGGACGGUACUGACGCUGAGACGCGAAAGCGUGGGGAGCGAACAGG